rnacentral:rRNA from 1 species
GGGGAAUAUUGCACAAUGGGCGAAAGCCUGAUGCAGCAACGCCGCGUGAAGGAUGAAGGUUUUCGGAUCGUAAACUUCUAUCAGUAGGGAAGGAACAUGACGGUACCUAACUAAGAAGCCCCGGCUAACUACGUGCCAGCAGCCGCGGUAAUACGUAGGGGGCAAGCGUUAUCCGGAAUCACUGGGUGUAAAGGGUGCGUAGGCGGUACGGCAAGUCAGAUGUGAAAACCCGGGGCUCAACCUCGGGAGUGCAUUUGAAACUGUCGGACUAGAGUGCAGGAGAGGAAAGUGGAAUUCCUAGUGUAGCGGUGAAAUGCGUAGAUAUUAGGAGGAACACCAGUGGCGAAGGCGACUUUCUGGACUGUAACUGACGCUGAGGCACGAAAGCGUGGGGAGCAAAC